rnacentral:snRNA from 1 species
CUGCUUUGGCAGCACAUAUACUAAAAUUGGAAUGACACAGAGAAGAUUAGCAUGGCCCUUCCACAAGGAUGACCUGCGAAUUAAUGAAGACUUUCAUAUUUUU